UGGCGUAAACANAGGGAAGCGAGCCCGCGAGGGGGAGGCGAAUCCCAAAAACAACGUCCCAGUUCGGAUUGUAGGCUGCAACCCGCCUGUAUGAAGUUGGAAUCGCUAGUAAUCGCGGAUCAGCAUGCCGCGGUGAAUACGUUCCCGGGCCUUGUACACACCGCCCGUCACACCAUGGGAGUCGGUAACACCCGAAGCCUGUAGUCUAACCGCAAGGGGGACGCAGUCGAAGGUGGGAUUGAUGACUGGGGUGAAGUCGUAACAAGGUAUC
rnacentral:rRNA from 1 species